CAGGGGGUGGAGUGUGUAGGGGAUGUCCUGAUAUGUGUAUAAGGAAUGCAUUGUGUGAAUCUGUGUUUGUAUGUGUAAGGGCUGCAAGGUGUGUUUCUGUGUAUGUACAGGAUGCAGUGUGUGCAUGUGUAAGGGGUGCAUUGAGUGUGUGUAAGGGGUGCAUUGUGUGUUUCUCUGUGUGUAAGGGAUGCAUUGUGUGUAAGGGUUGCAUUGUUUGUGUGU